rnacentral:lncRNA from 1 species
CACAUUUCUUCUUCAUUAUGGAGAAUGUCUAGUUCUGAAAACGAACGUUUCUCCGUCUCGUCAUUUUACCCUACUAAUUCAGGAGUGCUAUUUAUAUCCUGUCGACUACUCAUCAUUCAUCCAUACUGUGUGUGUCCCAUGAUUGCAGAUGUAUGGUGACUUCACGUUUGGAUGAACGGACCAACGGGACUGCCAUGGGCAAGGCUCUUGACGAGUACCAGGAAUGGUGGAAGGACAAUCUGAAGUUGUGGAACCAGAUCAAAACGCCUUCGAGGACCACCUUCAGGCAUGCACUGAGGAGGAUGUGGAGGUGAGACUGAACAUGGACAGGGCGCAUGAGAAGGAGAGCCACCUGAGAACAAUUAAGGGGACCAAGUGCUUCGACAGCUGGGUGAAUGACUUGGCUUGGAAGAAGGAUGAACAAGGACAAACUUUUUUUGUAAUUUCGCCCCGGCAAGGCACUUCCCUGUUCCCUGGGCUACAAAUACGUGGAUUUCGAUUAAGGCAGCCCCAGCACCUCUCUGAUUCAGAGGGGUUGGGUUAAAUGCGGAAAACACAUUUCAGUUGUACAACUGGUAGGUAUCCCCCUU